UUGGCUUUUAAUAUUCCAAUGUUGCUUAGCAUAGCAAUCGCUAUGACAGCUGGCAGGAGUUGUUUACCUAUAAAGGUAAUUUCUUUGCGUGAUUGUUGACUAAUUAUCCAACUGCAGAUUCAUCGAUAUCAGGCAGAAAUGUGUCCCCAUAAAUAUACGAGUUUUGGAUUUGAAUUACUUGAGCGUGGUUCUAACCGGAUUCUACUGAGCUUACGCUCCAUACUGAAUAAAGACAGCUGAAAAGUUGAACUAAAUCCUGGAAAUGGCGGCCAGACGUUAUUGUAACUCCAUUGUAUUCCUAUACCUGGGAGAGAACUUUGUAAAUUGCUUUUGCAUUCCAGCAAACUUUCACAUACUAUAUAAAUUCAAGUUAAGAUAAGAGGCAACCGUUUGACUCCGAGUAUUUACCCAGUGGCGGAAAUGCCCAUUAUUUUGUCCAUUACUCAUGGAUUACUUGUCGCCUGUGUGCAUGAAAAGAUCGAUUACAAGCUGCCUUACUUUUUUAAGGAAUGGCCGCUUUUUCUCCCGGGUGCAUGAAAUUAUUGAAUUUUGUAAUGCAGAAAGUAAUGAGGUGACGAAGUUUCCUUCGGCUCUCCAUUACCCAUGCGUAUACUUUUUAAAUAUUGUAAUGUAGAAAUUCCGCAACCUGAAGAAAACGCCUUAUACAUUUUCAAAAUCGCUUAUGGGUUAGUAAUGUGCGUACAUUACAACACAAUAUACCUGCAACCCAUUUUCCCACUAUAUAAAAUGGCUUACUUCUUAAUGCAAUGUAAUUGGAGAAAUAAUUGAUUACUAAUUGAAAGAUAGAAACGCUUGAGUAAUGCAGUAUUUUUUGUUUUAAUUUUUAAAAAUUAUUAUUUAUUAUUUCUUAAUAUCUAUAAAUAAAUGUAUAGUCUUAAACUAUGUAUUAUUACUAUUUUAUUAUAUCUAUCUACAUCUAAAUCUAAAGCUAUGUCUUAUUAUCUAGUUUGUCCUUAUUAUCGAACUUCUGCUUUGCCAGUCGACCUUUCUGGACCCGAAAGCAGUUUCUUAUUGUACUUAUAUAGGUCUUCUUAGUGGACCCUUCGGUUUUUACAGCAUCUGUAAAUUAAACAAUAUUAAUUUUUUUGUCAUUAAAAAUACAUGUAAGAUGAUGUAUACAUACCAGAUACUUCCCUUUAAAUUUACGUCCGCACGGCUCAACAAUAGCAGAAAAGUGACGCGCCGCGGCGGGUAAAACGAAAACAGAAAUCAUCACACAUAUGCAUUUUUGAACUUGUAUUUACACUCAUUAACACUAUACACA